GGCACUUAAUACUCAUUAAACCUGAAAAAAAGUAUUACUACUCGUUAAAUUAAACUAGUAAGAGAAACUACACAUUUGAUAUAAACAUUCCCAGUACAAUGUUAAUUAUUAGCUACCUAGACAAAACAGACACAAUAACAUAUAAAAGAACAGGCAAGUAACAGUUGUUCUGUGCUCUGACAAACUAUUGGACUACAUAAUAGACAUUAUCACAUUUCUACUUUCUUCAUGUUACUACCAAGUUUAGAUCACAUAACAAGACUAAGAUCAUGAAACCUAUGUGAGCAGAUAGAUAUGGUACAGCACAAUUGUUAGAAUUAUAACUCAAAAU
rnacentral:misc_RNA from 1 species